rnacentral:rRNA from 1 species
GGGUUGUGAGGUUAAGCGACUAAGCGUACACGGUGGAUGCCCUGGCAGUCAGAGGCGAUGAAGGACGCGCUAAUCUGCGAUAAGCGUCGGUAAGGUGAUAUGAACCGUUAUAACCGGCGAUUUCCGAAUGGGGAAACCCAGUGUGAUUCGUCACACUAUCAUUAACUGAAUCCAUAGGUUAAUGAGGCGAACCGG